rnacentral:rRNA from 1 species
ACGCUCGACACCUACGAGGCAGCAGUGGGGAAUAUUGCACAAUGGGGGAAACCCUGAUGCAGCGACGCCGCGUGGAGGAAGAAGGUCUUCGGAUUGUAAACUCCUGUUGUUGGGGAAAAAGAGGAUGGUACCCAACAAGGAAGUGACGGCUAACUACGUGGCAGCAGCCGCGGUAAUCUGAGCGGGCUGGCAAGGC